AGAGUUUGAUCCUGGCUCAGAAUGAACGCUGGCGGCGUGCUUAACACAUGCAAGUCGAACGAGAAAGUCCCUUCGGGGAUAAGUACAGUGGCGGACGGGUGAGUAACGCGUAAGAAUUUUCCCUUCAGUGAAGAAUAUCCUCGAGAAAUCGAGUGUAAUACUGCAUACGUCCCUUCGGGGAGAAAGGUGGCCUCUUGCUGCCGCUGAAGGAUAAGCUUGCGUCCUAUUAGUUUGUUGGUGGGGUAAAGGCCUACCAAGACGAUGAUGGGUAGCCGGCCUGAGAGGGUGAACGGCCACAUUGGGACUGAGAUACGGCCCAGACUCCUACGGGAGGCAGCAGUGGGGAAUAUUGCACAAUGGGCGAAAGCCUGAUGCAGCGACGCCGCGUGAAGGAUGAAGGGUUUCGGCUCGUAAACUUCUGUUAAGAGGGAAGAAAGACCUACGAGUAAUAUGCGUAGGUUAUGACGGUACCUCUAGAGAAAGCUCCGGCUAACUUCGUGCCAGCAGCCGCGGUAAUACGAGGGGAGCUAGCGUUAUUCGGAAUCACUGGGCGUAAAGCGCGCGUAGGCGGUCUGCUAAGUCAGUUGUUAAAUACCCCGGCUCAACCGGGGAUCAGCAAUUGAUACUGGCGGGCUAGAGUGCAGGAGAGAGAAGUGGAAUUAUCGGAGUAGCGGUAAAAUGCGUAGAUCUCGAUAGGAACACCGAUGGCGAAGGCAGCUUCUUGGCCUGUGUCUGACGCUAAGGCGCGAAAGCGUGGGUAGCAAACAGGAUUAGAUACCCUGGUAGUCCACGCCGUAAACGAUGAUCACUAGAUGUGGGAUCUGCUUGCAGAUUCCGUGUCGAAGCUAACGCGUUAAGUGAUCCGCCUGGGAAUUACGGUCGCAAGACUAAAACUUAAAGGAAUUGACGGGGGUCCGCACAAGCGGUGGAACAUGUGGUUUAAUUCGUCAUUACGCGAGAAACCUUACCUAGGUUUGACAUGUACUUGACCGCUGUAGAAAUACAGUUUUCCGAGCUUGCUCGGACGGGUACACAGGUGCUGCAUGGCUGUCGUCAGCUCGUGUCGUGAGAUGUUGGGUUAAGUCCUCUAACGAGCGCAACCCCUGCCGUCAGUUGCUAAUCUUCGGAUGCACUCUGGCGGGACUGACUGGGAAACCAGUAGGAAGGUGGGGAUGACGUCAAGUCCUCAUGGCCUUUAUACCUAGGGCAACACACGUGUUACAAUGGCUAGUACAAAGAGCAGCGACCUUGCGAGAGGAAGCGAAUCUCAUAAAACUAGUCUAAGUUCGGAUUGGAGUCUGCAACUCGACUCCAUGAAGCUGAAAUCGCUAGUAAUCGUGUAUCAGAACGACACGGUGAAUACGUUCUCGGACCUUGUACACACCGCCCGUCACACCACGAAAAUCGUUCAUACCUGAAAUCGUCUUAGCUAACCUCGUAAGAGGGGGCGGGCGCUGACGGUGUGGAGGGUAAUUGGGGUGAAGUCGUAACAAGGUAACC
rnacentral:rRNA from 1 species